rnacentral:tRNA from 1 species
GGGCCCGUGGCUUAGUCUGGUAAGCUUUUAGAAAAAGCUUAAGCAAAACUAACUACUUGGACUAUUGGAGCACUCGACUGAUAAUCGAGCGGUCGUCAGUUCAAAUCUGAUCGGGCCCA